UACGAAAGGGGCUAGCGUUGCUCGGAAUCACUGGGCGUAAAGCGCACGUAGGCGGCUUCUUAAGUCCGGGGUGAAAUCCUGGAGCUCAACUCCAGAACUGCCUUUGAUACUGAGUAGCUUGAGGCCGGGAGAGGUGAGUGGAACUGCGAGUGUAGAGGUGAAAUUCGUAGAUAUUCGCAAGAACACCAGUGGCGAAGGCGGCUCACUGGCCCGGUCCUGACGCUGAGGUGCGAAAGCGUGGGGAGCGAACAGG
rnacentral:rRNA from 1 species